rnacentral:rRNA from 1 species
UGCAGUCGCACGAGAAUUGGGGCUUCGGCUCCAUAGUAAAGUGGCGGACGGGUGAGUAACACGUGGAUAAUCUGCCCUUCGGCGGGGGACAACAGUCCGAAAGGAUUGCUAAUACCGCAUACGUCCAAGAGACCUUCGGGUCUUUUGGGGAAAGAUGGCCUCUUCAUGAAAGCUAUCACCGAAGGAUGAGUCCGCGUCCCAUCAGCUUGUUGGCGGUGUAAAAGACCACCAAGGCAUAGACGGGUAGCUGGUCUGAGAGGAUGACCAGCCACACUGGAACUGAGACACGGUCCAGACUCCUACGGGAGGCAGCAGUGGGGAAUAUUGGGCAAUGGGCGAAAGCCUGACCCAGCCAUGCCGCGUGAGUGAUGAAGGCCUUCGGGUCGUAAAGCUCUGUGGGGAGGGAAGAACAAGCUUAUGGCUAAUAUCCAUGAGCUCUGACGGUACCUCCUUAGCAAGCACCGGCUAACUCCGUGCCAGCAGCCGCGGUAAUACGGAGGGUGCAAACGUUGCUCGGAAUCAUUGGGCGUAAAGCGCACGUAGGCGGCCUUGUAAGUCAGGUGUGAAAGCCCUGGGCUCAACCCAGGAAGUGCACUUGAUACUGCUCGGCUUGAAUAUGCAAGAGGGUCGCGGAAUUCCCGGUGUAGAGGUGAAAUUCGUAGAUAUCGGGAGGAACACCAGUGGCGAAGGCGGCGACCUGGGGCAAUAUUGACGCUGAGGUGCGAAAGCGUGGGGAGCAAACAGAUUAGAUACCCUGGUAGUCCACGCCGU